rnacentral:rRNA from 1 species
UACAGAGGGUGCGAGCGUUGUUCGGAAUCACUGGGCGUAAAGCGCACGUAGGCGGCUUUCUAAGUCAGGGGUGAAAUCCUGGAGCUCAACUCCAGAACUGCCUUUGAUACUGGAGAGCUUGAGUCCGGGAGAGGUGAGUGGAACUCCGAGUGUAGAGGUGAAAUUCGUAGAUAUUCGGAAGAACACCAGUGGCGAAGGCGGCUCACUGGCCCGGUACUGACGCUGAGGUGCGAAAGCGUGGGGAGCAAACAGGG